UACGUAGGGUGCGAGCGUUAAUCGGAAUUACUGGGCGUAAAGCGUGCGCAGGCGGUUUUGUAAGCCAGGUGUGAAAUCCCCGGGCUCAACCUGGGAAUGGCAUUUGGGACUGCAAGGCUGGAGUGCGGCAGGAGGAGACGUGGAAUUCCUGGUGUAGCAGUGAAAUGCGUAGAUAUCAGGAGGAAUACCGAUGGCGAAGGCAGGUCUCUGGGCCGAUACUGACGCUGAGGAGCGAGAGCGUGGGGAGCGAACAGG
rnacentral:rRNA from 1 species